ACGAAAAAUAACGAUACGGGACUCAUCCGAGGCCCCGUAAUCGGAAUGAGUACACUCUAAACCCUUUAACGAGGAUCAAUUGGAGGGCAAGUCUGGUGCCAGCAGCCGCGGUAAUUCCAGCUCCAAUAGCGUAUAUUAAAGUUGUUGCGGUUAAAAAGCUCGUAGUCGAAUUUGUGUCCCGCGCCGCCGGUUCAUCGCUCGCGGUGUCAACUGGCGUGUCCGCGGGACGUCCUGCCGGUGGGCUUAGCCCCUGUGGGCGGCCCAAUCUCAAUCCCACCGCGGUGCUCUUCACUGAGUGUCGAGGUGGGCCGGCACGUUUACUUUGAACAAAUUAGAGUGCUUAAAGCAGGCUAAAACAUCGCCUGAAUACUGUGUGCAUGGAAUAAUGGAAUAGGACCUCGGUUCUAUUUUGUUGGUUUUCGGAACCCCGAGGUAAUGAUUAAUAGGAACGGAUGGGGGCAUUCGUAUUGCGACGUUAGAGGUGAAAUUCUUGGAUCGUCGCAAGACGGACAGAAGCGAAAGCAUUUGCCAAAAACGUUUUCAUUGAUCAAGAACGAAAGUUAGAGGUUCGAAGGCGAUCAGAUACCGCCCUAGUUCUAACCAUAAACGAUGCCAGCUAGCGAUCCGCCGACGUUCCUCCGAUGACUCGGCGGGCAGCUUCCGGGAAACCAAAGCUUUUGGGUUCCGGGGGAAGUAUGGUUGCAAAGCUGAAACUUAAAGGAAUUGACGGAAGGGCACCACCAGGAGUGGAGCCUGCGGCUUAAUUUGACUCAACACGGGAAACCUCACCAGGCCCGGACACCGGAAGGAUUGACAGAUUGAGAGC
rnacentral:rRNA from 2 species